rnacentral:rRNA from 1 species
UAAGACAUAGCAAGUCGAACGGAAGUCGUUAUAAUUGAUUCUGAAUGAAAGAUUUAUCCGGAAUGAUGAUGAUUUAUAACUAAGUGGCUUUAGUGGCGGACUGGUGAGUAACGCGUAAGCAAUCUGCCUAUCAGAGGGGAAUAACAGUGAGAAAUCAUUGCUAAUACCGCAUAUGCCAUGAGUAUCGCAUGAUACAAUUGGGAAAGGAGUAAUCCGCUGAUAGAUGAGCUUGCGUCUGAUUAACUUGUUGGUGGGGUAACGGCCUACCAAGGUGACGAUCAGUAGCCGGACUGAGAGGUUGAACGGCCACAUUGGGACUGAGAUACGGCCCAGACUCCUACGGGAGGCAGCAGUCGGGAAUAUUGCGCAAUGGAGGAAACUCUGACGCAGUGACGCCGCGUAUAGGAUGAAGGUUUUCGGAUUGUAAACUAUUGUCGUUAGGGAAGAUUUAAGACAGUACCUAAGGAGGAAGCUCCGGCUAACUACGUGCCAGCAGCGGC